CACGGCGAAUUGAAGCGGCAAGAGCUUCAAACUUGAGAUCUGGCUCCCUUCGGGGCCCGAGUUGUAAUUUGUAGAGGADGCUUCGGGCGUGGCCGCGGUCUAAGUCCCCUGGAACGGGGCGUCGCAGAGGGUGAGAAUCCCGUCUUCGGCCGGCCGGCCCCGCCCGUGUGAAGCUCCUUCGACGAGUCGAGUUGUUUGGGAAUGCAGCUCUAAAUGGGUGGUAAAUUUCAUCUAAAGCUAAAUACUGGUCGGAGACCGAUAGCGCACAAGUAGAGUGAUCGAAAGAUGAAAAGCACUUUGAAAAGAGAGUUAAACAGCAUGUGAAAUUGUUGAAAGGGAAGCGCUUGCGACCAGAGUCGGCCGCGGGGGCUCAGCGGGCACUUGUUGCCCGUGCACUCCCCCGUGGUCGGGCCAGCGUCGGUUUCGACGGCCGGUCAAAGGCCCCCGGAAUGUGUCGCCUCUCGGGGCGUCUUAUAGCCGGGGGUGCAAUGCGGCCAGUCGGGACCGAGGAACGCGCUCCGGCACGGACGCUGGCUUAAUGGUUGUAAGCGACCCGUCUUGAAACACGGACCAAGGAGUCUAACAUCCACGCGAGUGUUCGGGUGUCAAACCCGUCCGCGCAGUGAAAGCGAACGGAGGUGGGAACCCUCAAGGGUGCACCAUCGACCGAUCCUGAAGUCUUCGGAUGGAUUUGAGUAAGAGCGUGGCUGUUGGGACCCGAAAGAUGGUGAACUAUGCCUGAAUAGGGUGAAGGGAGAGGAAACUCUGGUGGAGGCUCGCAGCGGUUUCUGACGUGCAAAUCGAUCGUCAAAUUU
rnacentral:rRNA from 1 species